CAUCCAUGCGGCGAGCCUGACGGAGCACGCCGCGUGAGUGAUGAAGGUCUUCGGAUCGUAAAACUCUGUUAUCAGGGAAGAACAAAUGUGUAAGUAACUGUGCACAUCUUGACGGUACCUGAUCAGAAAGCCACGGCUAACUACGUGCCAGCAGCCGCGGUAAUACGUAGGUGGCAAGCGUUAUCCGGAAUUAUUGGGCGUAAAGCGCGCGUAGGCGGUUUUUUAAGUCUGAUGUGAAAGCCCACGGCUCAACCGUGGAGGGUCAUUGGAAACUGGAAAACUUGAGUGCAGAAGAGGAAAGUGGAAUUCCAUGUGUAGCGGUGAAAUGCGCAGAGAUAUGGAGGAACACCAGUGGCGAAGGCGACUUUCUGGUCUGUAACUGACGCUGAUGUGCGAAAGCGUGGGGAUCAAACAGGAUUAGAUACCCUGGUAGUCCACGCCGUAAACGAUGAGUGCUAAGUGUUAGGGGGUUUCCGCCCCUUAGUGCUGCAGCUAACGCAUUAAGCACUCCGCCUGGGGAGUACGACCGCAAGGUUGAAACUCAAAGGAUUUGGACGGGGG
rnacentral:rRNA from 1 species